ACCGGCUAACUCCGUGCCAGCAGCCGCGGUAAUACGGAGGGUGCGAGCGUUAAUCGGAAUUACUGGGCGUAAAGCGCAUGCAGGUGGUUUGUUAAGUCAGAUGUGAAAGCCCGGGGCUCAACCUCGGAAUUGCAUUUGAAACUGGCAGACUAGAGUACUGUAGAGGGGGGUAGAAUUUCAGGUGUAGCGGUGAAAUGCGUAGAGAUCUGAAGGAAUACCGGUGGCGAAGGCGGCCCCCUGGACAGAUACUGACACUCAGAUGCGAAAGCGUGGGGAGCAAACAGGAUUAGAUACCCUGGUAGUCCACGCCGUAAACGAUGUUUACUUGGAGGUUGUGGCCUUGAGCCGUGGCUUUCGGAGCUAACGCGUUAAGUAGACCGCCUGGGGAGUACGGUCGCAAGAUUAAAACUCAAAUGAAUUGACGGGGGCCCGCACAAGCGGUGGAGCAUGUGGUUUAAUUCGAUGCAACGCGAAGAACCUUACCUACUCUUGACAUCCAGAGAACUUUCCAGAGAUGGAUUGGUGCCUUCGGGAACUUUGAGACAGGUGCUGCAUGGCUGUCGUCAGCUCGUGUUGUGAAAUGUUGGGUUAAGUCCCGCAACGAGCGCAACCCUUAUCCUUGUUUGCCAGCGAGUAAUGUCGGGAACUCCAGGGAGACUGCCGGUGAUAAACCGGAGGAAGGUGGGGACGACGUCAAGUC
rnacentral:rRNA from 1 species